UGCAGCUAACGCAUUAAGUGUACCGCCUGGGGAGUACGGUCGCAAGAUUAAAACUCAAAGGAAUAGACGGGGACCCGCACAAGCGGUGGAGCAUGUGGUUUAAUUCGAAGAUACGCGAAGAACCUUACCUGGGCUUGAUAUCCUAAGAACCUUUUAGAGAUAAGAGGGUGCUAGCUUGCUAGAACUUAGAGACAGGUGCUGCACGGCUGUCGUCAGCUCGUGUCGUGAGAUGUUGGGUUAAGUCCCGCAACGAGCGCAACCCACGUAUUUAGUUGCUAACGGUUCGGCCGAGCACUCUAAAUAGACUGCCUUCGUAAGGAGGAGGAAGGUGUGGACGACGUCAAGUCAUCAUGGCCCUUAUGCCCAGGGCGACACACGUGCUACAAUGGCAUAUACAAUGAGACGCAAUACCGCGAGGUGGAGCAAAUCUAUAAAAUAUGUCCCAGUUCGGAUUGUUCUCUGCAACUCGAGAGCAUGAAGCCGGAAUCGCUAGUAAUCGUAGAUCAGCCAUGCUACGGUGAAUACGUUCCCGGGUCUUGUACUCACCGCCCGUCACACCAUGGGAGUUGAUUUCACUCGAAGCCGGAAUACUAAACUAGUUACCGUCCACAGUGGAAUCAGCGACUGGGGUGAAGUCGUAACAAGGUAACCGUAGGAGAACCUGCGGUUGGAUCACCUCCUUU
rnacentral:rRNA from 1 species